rnacentral:rRNA from 1 species
GACGAACGCUGGCGGCGUGCUUAACACAUGCAAGUCGAACGGAAAGGCCCUGCUUUUGUGGGGUGCUCGAGUGGCGAACGGGUGAGUAACACGUGAGUAACCUGCCCUUGACUUUGGGAUAACUUCAGGAAACUGGGGCUAAUACCGGAUAGGAGCUCCUGCUGCAUGGUGGGGGUUGGAAAGUUUCGGCGGUUGGGGAUGGACUCGCGGCUUAUCAACUUGUUGGUGGGGUAGUGGCUUACCAAGGCUUUGACGGGUAGCCGGCCUGAGAGGGUGAACGGCCACAUUGGGACUGAGAUACGGCCCAGACUCCUACGGGAGGCAGCAGUGGGGAAUAUUGCACAAUGGGCGGAAGCCUGAUGCAGCAACGCCGCGUGCGGGAUGACGGCCUUCGGGUUGUAAACCGCUUUCGCCUGUGACGAAGCGUGAGUGACGGUAAUGGGUAAAGAAGCACCGGCUAACUACGUG